rnacentral:rRNA from 1 species
UACGGAGGGUGCGAGCGUUGUCCGGAAUCACUGGGCGUAAAGGGCGCGUAGGCGGCUUUUUAAGGGUGCGGUGAAAGCCCGGGGCUUAACCCCGGGUCGGCCGUGCCGACUGAAAAGCUGGAGCACUGUAGAGGCAGGUGGAAUUCCGGGUGUAGCGGUGGAAUGCGUAGAGAUCCGGAAGAACACCAGUGGCGAAGGCGGCCUGCUGGGCAGUUGGCUGACGCUGAGGCGCGACAG